rnacentral:piRNA from 1 species
UAUUCAAGUAAAUGUGCCACCUCC